AUUGAACGCUGGCGGCAGGCCUAACACAUGCAAGUCGAGCGGAGCGGCGGACGGGUGAGUAAUGCCGAGGAAUCUGACUGGUAGUGGGGGAUAACGUCCGGAAACGGGCGCUAAUACCGAAUACUAUCAGAUGAGCCUAGGUCGGAUUAGCUAGUUGGUGGGGUAAAGGCCUAACAGGGCGACGAUCCGUAACUGGUCUGAGAGGAUGAUCAGGCACACUGGAACUGAGACACGUUCCAACCUCCGACGGGAGGCAGCAGGGGGGAAUUUUGGACAAUGGGCGAAGGCCUGAUCCAGCCAUGCCGCGUGUGUGAAGAAGGUCUUCGGAUGGUAAAGCACUUUAAGUUGGGAGGCGUUACCAACAGAAUAGGCACCGGCUAACAGCGUGCCAGCGGCCGCGGUAAUUC
rnacentral:rRNA from 1 species